rnacentral:rRNA from 2 species
GAAGACGUAUUUCGGCCACCAUUGGAUCGAGACACGCCCAUUCUUACGAGGCAGCAGGUAGGAAUCUUCCCAUUGGACGUAAGUUUGAUUGGAGCACGCGGCGUGGAGUGAAGAAGGUUUCCGCUCGUAAAAUCUCUGUGUUUAAAGAAGACAUAUCUGAGAGUAAACUGUUCAGGGUAUUGACGGUAAUUAACCCAGAAAGGCACGGCUAACUACGUGCCAGCAGCCGCGGUAAUACGUAGGUGGCAAGCGUUGUCCCGGAUUUAUUGGGCGUAAAGCGAGCGCAGGCGGUUUUUUUAAGUCUGAUGUGAAAGCCUUUCGGCUCAACCGAAGAAGUGCAUCGGAAACUGGGAAACUUGAGUGCAGAAGAGGACAGUGGAACUCCAUGUGUAGCGGUGAAAUGCGUAGAUAUAUGGAAGAACACCAGUGGCGAAGGCGGCUGUCUGGUCUGUAACUGACGCUGAGGCUCGAAAGUAUGGGUAGCAAACAGGAUUAGAUACCCUGGUAGUCCAUACCGUAAACGAUGAAUGCUAAGUGUUGGAGGGUUUCCGCCCUUCAGUGCUGCAGCUAACGCAUUAAGCAUUCCGCCUGGGGAGUACGGCCGCAAGGCUGAAACUCAAAGGAAUUGACGGGGGCCCGCACAAGCGGUGGAGCAUGUGGUUUAAUUCGAAGCUACGCGAAGAACCUUACCAGGUCUUGACAUACUAUGCAAAUCUAAGAGAUUAGACGUUCCCUUCGGGGACAUGGAUACAGGUGGUGCAUGGUUGUCGUCAGCUCGUGUCGUGAGAUGUUGGGUUAAGUCCCGCAACGAGCGCAACCCUUAUUAUCAGUUGCCAGCAUUAAGUUGGGCACUCUGGUGAGACUGCCGGUGACAAACCGGAGGAAGGUGGGGAUGACGUCAAAUCAUCAUGCCCCUUAUGACCUGGGCUACACACGUGCUACAAUGGAUGGUACAACGAGUUGCGAACUCGCGAGAGUAAGCUAAUCUCUUAAAGCCAUUCUCAGUUCGGAUUGUAGGCUGCAACUCGCCUACAUGAAGUCGGAAUCGCUAGUAAUCGCGGAUCAGCAUGCCGCGGUGAAUACGUUCCCGGGCCUUGUACACACCGCCCGUCACACCAUGAGAGUUUGUAACACCCAAAGUCGGUGGGGUAACCUUUAGGAACCAGCCGCCUAAGGUGACAGGAUGCC